UACGUAGGCAGCGAGCGUUGUUCGGAGUUACUGGGCGUAAAGGGUGUGUAGGCGGUUUUUUAAGUUUGGUGUGAAAUCUCCCGGCUCAACCGGGAGGGUGCGCCGAAUACUGAGGGACUAGAGUACGGGAGAGGAAAGUGGAAUUCCUGGUGUAGCGGUGAAAUGCGUAGAUAUCAGGAGGAACACCGGUGGUGUAGACGGCUUUCUGGACCGUAACUGACGCUGAAACACGAAAGCGUGGGUAGCAAACAGG
rnacentral:rRNA from 1 species